CAGCCAAGGAAUUUCUCAACUAAAUGCUGGGAGGGAAAGUGUCCUUUCCCAGAGAAUCAGUUCUUUACCUCAGCAACCGGGGAUAAUGAAACACACAUCUGCAUCUGCUUUUCUGCAAAAUUAAGCAUUCCAGCAAGGCCUGAACUAGAUACAUGAAAUGAAAUUGUGACUGUAAACUCAGAGUCAGUCUCUUGGCAAAGCUGCAAAGGAGGUGAACAUCACUUGAAGGGUCAUCAGCCUUCCUAUUAUCUGCCUUUUUAACCCACCUUAAAGGCACUCACUCCUUUCUCCUGUGCCCUACAUACUCAAAUCUCUCCAUCUCUUUCAAAGUCUGCUCUUGGAUGCUUCAUUCACACAUUUCUGUAAUUGAUUACUAAAAAAAUAUAGUUUCUAGACUUGUGAAAGAUCCUCAGAGAUUACCUUCUAUAACUUGUUCAUUGUAAGUAUGAGAAAGAAUUUUGAAAUUGAUCUUGUCACCCAUAAAAAACUGCUAUGAGACAACAUGGAAGAGGAACUUAGAAAGUGGGGAAAACUAAUGUUUCUACCUGAAGUAACUCUCCAACCUAUCUGUAAUAUUAAGCAAGAACUUAUUUGAUGACUUUUUUGUUUAAACUUUAACUGGAAGAUAAAGAGAAAAAUCUAAUAGCAUGCAGGAAAAACUUCGCUCAACUCCCUAAUGACUUUUGCUUCAAAACCAUUACUUCCUUUGGCCUCAGGAUAUUGUUGGUCAAACAUUGGAUUGUAUGACCUGUGGAAAGCCUUAAGAUAUUUUUGAUAGUGUUUUAUGAUCUUUGGAAAAUCCCUAUUGAGAUGGCCUGCAGUUCAUGGUCUGAGGUUCAUCAGCUGUACUGAUCUGUCAAAGUCCUAUUGACAAGUUGGUUAUUAUUGUUGGACAACUAAAAGAUUCCGGAAAAAAAAAAAGAAACAAAGAAAAGCAGUUUGGGAUGCCUUGCUAAGUGAUUACAUGCCAAGAAGACUAAAGAUAGAAGCACGCCUCCAUUGGGAUCUACUGGUCUAAUUUGGAUCCAAAGUCUAAGAAAUAAGCUGGUUUUAAAUCAGGCAAUAUAGCUGGGAUCUUUCUCAGAAGUGAUGAUAGGAUUGACAGGAUGAUUUCAAUCUACCCAAGAGGAGUUUCUAUCUCAUCCUUCUUUGAAGGUUGCAUUUUCAUUAGAGAAUGGGAGAAAAAUGUAAUUUGGCAAGGACAACAAUCCUUAUCCUCUUUGCUUCAGUAAUGCUCUAUCUCGUUCAUAACGUUUUGAAGUAAAAGGGACUUUUCAGAUUAGUAGAGCAUUCACUUCAAAAUAAAGUGAAGGAAACUGAGUUUCAAAGAAAUAGUUUUUCCUAAGGUCAAACAACAUGUAAAUGGAAGAGCAAGGACUUUAGUCAACUAUAGAGAAUCCAUAUGUAAACAAAAUGACACAACAUCUUAGAACAUAAAUAAGAGGAAAUGAGUGAGCUUUCAUCCAUAUUUAAGUUUAUUGUGAUUCAUUUCUUCUCUAAUGUUUAGGUCUGGGGUAAGGGAACUAUGAUUGAACAAUUGCCAUAAAAAUUAAUUAAGGAUAAAAAUUCUCCUGUGAGGAAAAUCCCUCCAAAAGUAGAGACUGAUAAUUUAUCUGCAACUUCUGAACUUGGGAGAGUUGUCUAGAACACUGAAAUAUUAGUUAACUGAAGAUUACACUACCAGCAUGUGUCAGAACUGAGAUUUGAAUCUGUCUUCUUGGCUUCUAGGCCACUUUCCUAUCUACUAGGAGAGAUAAUGCUCUUCUUUAUGCAUAUCAAAAGUACUUAGUAACUUAAGUCAAAAUAGUUUAGGAAGAAGCAUGAGAAAGCAGUUUCUAGUAAUAAAAAUAACCUGGAGACCCAUUAGUUGGUUGUAUGACACUUGGACUGAUGAUUACAGAGAUGGAAAUGAAACCAGUCAGAUAUAGGGUGUUAGAGAAAAUUUCUUGCAGGGAAGGCUAAUGCAUUAUGAAAUAUUCUCCUGAGGGAAGGAGGUCAACUUUAUAUCAUUUGAAUCUAGAAAUGUUAAUAAAAUAGGUUUGGCAAUUUUGAGGGAAUUAAAAUUAACUGUUCCUUGGACAGUGUACCCAAAGUGAUGUGAAUAUAAUCCCUCUUUUGUUAGCUGUAUAGUCUACUAGCCACUUUACAUUUGUAAGACUCAGUUUCCUUAU